CUCUAGAGUUUGAUCCUGGCUCAGGACGAACGCUGGCGGCGUGCUUAACACAUGCAAGUCGAACGAUGAUGCCCAGCUUGCUGGGCGGAUUAGUGGCGAACGGGUGAGUAACACGUGAGUAACCUGCCCUUGACUUCGGGAUAACUCCGGGAAACCGGGGCUAAUACCGGAUAUGAGCUACCUUCGCAUGGGGGUGGUUGGAAAGUUUUUCGGUCAGGGAUGGGCUCGCGGCCUAUCAGCUUGUUGGUGGGGUGAUGGCCUACCAAGGCGACGACGGGUAGCCGGCCUGAGAGGGCGACCGGCCACACUGGGACUGAGACACGGCCCAGACUCCUACGGGAGGCAGCAGUGGGGAAUAUUGCACAAUGGGCGCAAGCCUGAUGCAGCGACGCCGCGUGAGGGAUGAAGGCCUUCGGGUUGUAAACCUCUUUCAGCAGGGAAGAAGCGCAAGUGACGGUACCUGCAGAAGAAGCGCCGGUAACUACGUGCCAGCAGCCGCGGUAAUACGUAGGGCGCAAGCGUUGUCCGGAAUUAUUGGGCGUAAAGAGCUCGUAGGCGGUCUGUCGCGUCUGGUGUGAAAACUCGAGGCUCAACCUCGAGCUUGCAUCGGGUACGGGCAGACUAGAGUGCGGUAGGGGAGACUGGAAUUCCUGGUGUAGCGGUGGAAUGCGCAGAUAUCAGGAGGAACACCGAUGGCGAAGGCAGGUCUCUGGGCCGCAACUGACGCUGAGGAGCGAAAGCAUGGGGAGCGAACAGGAUUAGAUACCCUGGUAGUCCAUGCCGUAAACGUUGGGCACUAGGUGUGGGGCUCAUUCCACGAGUUCCGUGCCGCAGCAAACGCAUUAAGUG
rnacentral:rRNA from 1 species